rnacentral:sRNA from 1 species
UUGUUUGAAUGUUUAAUUGAUAGAUCAAAUAGUGAAAUAUGUAUAGAAAAUGAUUACAAAGCAAUAACAUUAUAGCCAAAAGCAAUAAAUUUAUAUGCUACUCGAUGACAUGUUAGAGAGAAGAGGCAAAUUAAUGACACUUCGACUCUUGAAGAACGAAUUAUUCAGUAAUUAUCUGUUGUUUACAGAAGUUUUUUUCACGUCGAAUACAUUUUUUUGGAAGUUACAGUUUUAUAAAAGAACUUUAAUCUUAGAGAGACUUUGUUUUUGUUUUUAAAAAA